UAUUGCAUACUUGAGAAAAAA
rnacentral:piRNA from 1 species